rnacentral:snRNA from 1 species
AGAUAUGAGGGUGACCUGUGACAUCCGUCACCCUACUGAUCGCCAGGGUUGAUUCAGCUGAUCUGGCUAGCUAGGCAGGUGUCCCCUUCCUCACCACUCCAUGUGCAUCCCUCUUAAAGUUAUGCACUCGGUGGAAGAGGACACCUAUCCCCAAUAGAGGAAGACUGUUCUUCAGUCAAGGGUAUACCAGUAGCUGCACUUCCCUGCUGGAACCUCCAAACAAGCUCUCAAGGUCCAUUUUUAAGAGAACAUAUGGUAGUCAUGCUUCCGAGACUCCAGACAUUCCAAAUGAGUUGCUGCAUGUGGCAGUCUACCUUUCUUU